CCAUUUUUUGUUUAUUGCCAAAUGUACUUUUUUUUAACCAAACACCGGAUGGCUAGGUGAACUAGCAAUGUGCUGCAACCCGGGGAUCAACAGGCUUUGUCCAGAGAGCAACGCACUGAGGUUUUGUUGUGAAAUGGGUGCUUAUUAUGACCCUUGGACAACCAACAAAAAACCCCAACGAGAUCAAAGCAACCCUCCGCUCCCCUGUCGAGUUCCUAUCAGUCAGCAACAACUCGGCCUCACCUGCCUCCCUGUGCUCUGCCUUUGACAUUAUACUGUGGAUACCACUGUUUUGGCAAUGUGCCAAAGGAGAAAAAAAAAAUCUGGCGGAUGAACAGGAUGCUGACAGAAAUGACUAAGGCUACAUGUGAAGGCUUUCUUUUAUAACAGGUAAGAAAGUCCUGAGAAUUAUUG